CCAUGAGAGCUUAUGCUCAAAGUGGACAAUAUCAUACCAUUGUAGAGAUUCGUAGUUCCUAACACUCCCCAUGCCAGCCUCCUCUUCUUUCUCAGAGUUCGUUUGUUUUACAAGUACAAGUACAUGACAUUCAUCUUGAGAUUCCGCUUCGCCUUUCGAAUACUCAUCUCGAACAUAAUGCAUUUUUUCAUUCCUGUAGGACUGAAAAACAAGAGCCGGAAGAAAGCACUUUCCACCAAGAGAAAGUGUCCUCUGAAUUACAGAAGAAUCAUAACAUAUCUACCAACGAUACUUAUUAUUCUUCUUCUUUCCAAGAGUUUCAGGGAAUGCAAAGAAUUUUACCUAUAUAUAAUAACAUGGAUGAUGAUUAUUGGUUUGAAUCAAAUUCUCAAGUGAGCAUUACGCAUUUAUGGGGUGAAGAACACAACUUUUAAAAUGUUCUUGAAGACCAACAAUUCAAUGGCCUCUGGUUUUUUAAUGGAGCACGACACAA